GGUUACAUUUUUGGGAACUAGCAAGCUGAACUUGGUGAAAUUGUAUAAUUUCUUGGAUUAUAUUUUCUUUAUGUUUAGUACUUUUAAGGCUUUAUAAAGAGGCUUCCAUUGCAAAUAUUAAACAGAUUUCUACAUGUGAAGGAGACAGAAAAUUGAAGUAUGGCGAUCAUCAUGGUUUUCUCGUAAUUACACUUAUUGACACGCCAAGAGCUUAUGCUGAUCUCAAAUCUGAGGAACUUGGUCAGGGUGAAGCUAUAGCUCAAAACAUAAGGUCUAUGUUUGGACUGAGAGUUCCUGUCAUCUCAAUAGUCACCGGUGAAGGUGGUUUUGGGGGAGCUCUGGCCAUCUGUUGCUGCAAUAAAUUGUUUAUGCUUGAGAAUCCUGCUUUCUAUGUUGCUAGGUUUUCUUCGCAUCUAUUGUCUAUUUUUGGUUUCUUAUUAUUAUUCAAAUUCCUUCAUCAUUUUCCAAUACAUGCUUACCUUAUUAUUUCCCUUUUGACAUUCCUGAAGCAUCUAUUGUAUAUGAAUUUUUCUCUUGCUAGAUAGUUAAUAAGCUUUCAUGGGAUACAGCCUUAUUAAUUUCAGAAGAAUCUAUCUUUUUCAUGAAAAGGCUGCUGAAAACAUGAGGAUAACAGCCCAAGAACACCUUCGGCUAAAAAUUGAUGAUGUUAUCAUUCCUGCAAGCUUUUCUAAAUUCUCAAAUUUCUGCCUGAAAUCAACAUGAUUUGUUUGGACACUUGGAAUGCGUUCAUUUGGACUGCAUGCUUAUUCCACAUAAUUGGCAGAUUGGUGAGUGUGUUGCUAACUGGUGGAGGCCCAAUUUUGAAACAGUGAUGUAUCCCUACUGCCCUCCUCACAUCACAAUGAGUUAAUAGCUAUGGAGUAUAUUGUUUUUGUGUGCCGGAAGCCUAUUAGCUUAAUUGGUCGAGCAUUGUGCACUUGCAUUGCACAUGAUGUGGGUUCGAAUCCUACAUAGGCUUACAUGUAGUGAUCUUUUUAAAAUGUAGUAAAAAUGAAUAUAAUUAGCUUAUUUUUAUUUAUAACGACUUUUAUAAUUACCUGAAGUUUAUAUAUAGUUACCUUAUUUUCGUAUAUAAUGACCUUUUUGUAAAUGUCAUAUAGUUACCUUAUUUUUAUAUAUAAUGACCUCUGUGGAA